CCAAUAGCGUAUAUUAAAGUUGUUGCAGUUAAAAAGCUCGUAGUUGAACUUCGGGGUUCACCCAUUGGUCAGGCUUAAUUGUCUGCACUGGUGAGAUGAGUCUCUACCUUCUGAGGAACUUUCAUGCCAUUUAUUUGGUGUGAUUGGAAAUCAGGACUGUUACUUUGAAAAAAUUAGAGUGUUUAAAGCAGGCUAACGUCUGAAUACAUUAGCAUGGAAUAAUGAAAUAGGACGGACUGAUUCUAUUUCGUUGGUUUCUAGGAUCACCGUAAUGAUUAAUAGGGAUAGUUGGGGGCAUUAGUAUUCAAUUGCCAGAGGUGAAAUUCUUGGAUUUAUUGAAGACUAACUACUGCGAAAGCAUUUGCCAAGGAUGUUUUCAUUAAUCAAGAACGAAAGUUAGGGGAUCGAAGACGAUCAGAUACCGUCGUAGUCUUAACCAUAAACUAUGCCGACUAGGGAUCGGACGAAGUUAAUUUUAUAAUGACGCGUUCGGCACCUUACG
rnacentral:rRNA from 1 species